rnacentral:lncRNA from 1 species
UUGAUGUAUGAUGACAAGAUGAUCUUGAGUGGAGAAUUCAUCAGUAUGCAAUAAGUAUGCUAGCUUUAUGGAAUUUAUAUACUACUUUUGCAUUGGCACUUUACUAACUUUUCUGUCGCAAUUAUCUGUCACAUAGAAUUCAAAGUUCCACCAGUUUGUAUCAAAAAUGAGUCGUGGCGAAAUUACUAUUGAGGAUAAUCAAAUAAAGCAAGGCACAUUCUCGGCACCUGGAGAUUGGGCAGCAGAAUAUCAGCAACAGUAUAAUGGAGGUCAAACAUGGGCUGACCAGUUUGUGAAUGAGCAGGCAAGUACAGUCUUGAUUAAUGGCACGAGACCUAGUGCUUAUCUGUUGUAUUAUAUAGCGCUUAUUUGGUAUGAAUUUUAACCUCAUUAUAAUUUAAAAGUCAAAGUCAAACUUUAAUUUUAACAUGGAGGACCCACAACUACAACCCACUUAUCCACCACUUAUUUCUAUCAACUUAGAAUUUCGGGCAACUUAAAAUUUCUCCCAAGCAAGCGUAUACUCUCCUAUGUUCUGGAUUUGCAGGAUUCUCUAUCAAAUGAAAGUCUUUUCUAGCUAGCUUACUGUCAUUGUAAUCAAACUUAUUUUGAGCUGUGGAAGUCAUAUCUCUUUAGUGAGUUGGUAAAAUGAUUUUCUGUUGGUUUUAUUGCUUUAGACCUGAUGUUUGUUCUAGAGUUUAUGCCUGGUGAUUGAAGAAGUUAUGCUCGAUGCAAAUUUACAUGUCACCUAUUCACCAAACACUAUUUUGUUUUCAGCAUUCCCAUGGACCUCAUGGAUGGGCAAAUGAGUUUGCCGCUGAACGCGAGCUACAUGGACCAGUAGAUGUUGAUUGGGUCAACAUCCAUCUAGUGUAUAUGUGAAAGAAUAAUAUGAGAAGGUUUUCAUAUUAGGAAAUUGGACAUAAUCUUGGAACAUUACUUAUAUUUGUUAAUAUGUUAAACUGUUCUAAAACGCCCAGUCUGGUAGUACAAUUUAAAGGAUUACUCUUGACCUGAUUUUGGUUUUUGGUGGGUAGUUAUUGAUUUUCUGUCAUGGAAUUGAAUUGGUUUGAUAACCAACUUUCUGUUUACCAGAGAUGAUUAACUUGUUGAAUAAUAAUUAUUAAAUACCACCUGUAUUUUGAAUUUAUAACUAAUUAGCGCUUUAUAUGGUGGAUUACGAGGAUCACAAUCCUAGGGAUGCCGUAAAAAAUUGUUAUGUUCUUUUCAAUCAAUCAAGAUGGAAAACUAAAAAUACUAUUGUUUUGCUUGGUUUACUAAAGUUUACCAGUUCAUAAGAAGAAAUAAUUGAGCAUCUAAUAGCUUUUUCAGCAUAUUCUUUUGCUUCUGGUCAUUACAAUUUGAACGAAAAUCCUCCUCGUUGAACGAACAAAAGGGGAGACGAUGGAAAAAUUAAAGAACAUGUGCACAUGCACACACUGGUCAUUUAGUUGCUGUAAGCGCCUUCCUUUGAAAUGAACUGCCGUAUCACAUUGUCUUAUCACAUGACAUAUCAUCUACUGUUGCUGAAUUAUGUCCAAUUAAAUACUUGCACACUGGAAACUGCCACCUUUAUAUGGUGGAAUACGAGUAUCUCAAUCCUAUUGAUCCCAUAAAGAAUUGUGUUCUUUUUCAAUCAAUCAAGAUGGAAAACUAAAAAUAUUAUUGUUUUGCUUGGUUCAGUAAAGUUUACCAGUUUGUAAGUAGAAAUGAUUGAGCAUCUAAUAGCUUUUUCAGCAUAUUCUUUUGCUUCUGGUCAUUACAAUUUGAACGAAAAUCCUCCUCGUUGAACGAACAAAAGGGGAGACGAUGGAAAAAUUAAAGAACAUGUGCACAUGCACACACUGGUCAUUUAGUUGCUGUAAGCGCCUUCCUUUUGGAAUGAACUGCUUGUCACGCUGUCUUAUUAUUUGACAUAUCAUCUACUGUUGCUGAAUUAUGUCCAAUCAAAUAUUUGCACACUGGAAACUGCCACUCCUUUUCCUUACUCUGUACUUUGACAUUACAAUUUUCCUCCAACUAUCACAGGAGCAAUCCCAACUUGCAUUGAUAGAUCAAAUGAGGCGUGCAAAUAUUUCUAGCUUAGCUGCCAUGGAGCACACACGUAAGCUAGCACACACGCUCACUCAAAACAAUGACCCAAAAUUCCAGGUAAUGGCCCAUCUUAAGAUUUUGGUUUUUUUCUCAUCAUUCUUGAUGUAUGAUGACAAGAUGAUCUUGAGUGGAGAAUUCAUCAGUAUGCAAUAAGUAUGCUAGCUUUAUGGAAUUUAUAUACUACUUUUGCAUUGGCACUUUACUAACUUUUCUGUCGCAAUUAUCUGUCACAUAGAAUUCAAAGUUCCACCAGUUUGUAUCAAAAAUGAGUCGUGGCGAAAUUACUAUUGAGGAUAAUCAAAUAAAGCAAGGCACAUUCUCGGCACCUGGAGAUUGGGCAGCAGAAUAUCAGCAACAGUAUAAUGGAGGUCAAACAUGGG